rnacentral:misc_RNA from 1 species
GACAAUGGCUGAGGUGGCUGCUGCACGGCCUCGAAAUUGGCAGAAAUAUUGUUCUAGGCAUGGAGAUGUUUUCCCCUUCUUGAUGAAUGCAGUGUUUUACUUUGGUGAAGAGUCCGUUAUUCAGACUCUCAAACUUUUAAAUUUGGCCUUCUAUUCAGGAAAGGAUAUGACCCAAUCCUUGCAGAAACUUGAAGUGGGGGAGUCAGGGACAAGUUCAAACAAAUCAGGGGCACAGUCAUUAGAUUCAAAGAAGAAGAAGAAAGGCGAAGUGGGAACUGAAUCUGGGUUGGAGAAAUCUUAUAUGGACAUGGAGUCUGCUGUUGAUAUCUUUACUGACAAGGGCGGUGAUGUUUUGAGGCAAUUUGUU